AUUGAACGCUGGCGGCAGGCCUAACACAUGCAAGUCGAGCGGAUGAAGGGAGCUUGCUCCUGGAUUCAGCGGCGGACGGGUGAGUAAUGCCUAGGAAUCUGCCUGGUAGUGGGGGAUAACGUCCGGUAACGGGCGCUAAUACCGCAUCCGUCCUGAGGGAGAAAGGGGGGGAUCUUCAGACCUCGCGCUAUCAGCUGAGCCUAGGUCGGAUUAGCUAGUUGGUGGGGUAAAGGCCUACCAAGGCGACGAUCCGUAACUGGUCUGAGAGGAUGAUCAGUCACACUGGAACUGAGACACGGUCCAGACUCCUACGGGAGGCAGCAGUGGGGAAUAUUGCACAAUGGGCGAAAGCCUGAUCCAGCCAUGCCGCGUGUGUGAAGAAGGUCUUCGGAUUGUAAAGCACUUUAAGUUGGGAGGAAGGGCAGUAAGUUAAUACCUUGCUGUUUUGACGUUACCAACAGAAUAAGCACCGGCUAACUUCGUG
rnacentral:rRNA from 1 species